UGGCGGCACUAGCGCGGUGGUCCCACCUGACCCCAUGCCGAACUCAGAAGUGAAACGCCGUAGCGCCGAUGGUAGUGUGGGGUCUCCCCCAAUGUGAGAGUAGGGAACUGCCAGGCA
rnacentral:rRNA from 1 species